rnacentral:rRNA from 1 species
GAUGAACGCUGGCGGCGUGCCUAAUACAUGCAAGUCGAGCGAACGGACGAGAAGCUUGCUUUUCUGAUGUUAGCGGCGGACGGGUGAGUAACACGUGGAUAACCUACCUAUAAGACUGGGAUAACUUCGGGAAACCGGAGCUAAUACCGGAUAAUAUUUUGAACCGCAUGGUUCAAAAGUGAAAGACGGUCUUGCUGUCACUUAUAGAUGGAUCCGCGCUGCAUUAGCUAGUUGGUAAGGUAACGGCUUACCAAGGCAACGAUGCAUAGCCGACCUGAGAGGGUGAACGGCCACACUGGAACUGAGACACGGUCCAGACUCCUACGGGAGGCAGCAGUAGGGAAUCUUCCGCAAUGGGCGAAAGCCUGACGGAGCAACGCCGCGUGAGUGAUGAAGGUCUUCGGAUCGUAAAACUCUGUUAUUAGGGAAGAACAUAUGUGUAAGUAACUGUGCACAUCUUGACGGUACCUAAUCAGAAAGCCACGGCUAACUACGUG